rnacentral:rRNA from 1 species
CCUACGGGAGGCAGCAGUGGGGAAUCUUGCGCAAUGGGCGGAAGCCUGACGCAGCAACGCCGCGUGCGGGAAGAAGGCCUUAGGGUCGUAAACCGCUUUCAGGGGGGACGAAGCUUCCGGGGUUAAUAGCCUACGGGGUGACGGUACUCCCAAAAGAAGGUCCGGCUAACUACGUGCCAGCAGCCGCGGUAAUACGUAGGGACCGAGCGUUGUCCGGAAUCAUUGGGCGUAAAGAGCGUGUAGGCGGCUUGGUAGGUCUCGUGUGAAAUCCCGCGGCUCAACCGCGGAUCCGCACGGGAAACCCCUAAGCUCGAGUCCGGAAGAGGAGAGUGGAAUUCCUGGUGUAGCGGUGAAAUGCGCGAGAUAUCAGGAAGAACACCCGUAGCGAAGGCGGCUCUCUGGGACGGUACUGACGCUGAGACGCGAAAGCGUGGGGAGCAAACAGGAUUAGAUACCCUGGUAGUCCACGCCGUAAACGGAUGGGCGCUAGGUGUGGGAGGUGUCGACUCCUCCCGUGCCGAGCUAACGCAUUAAGCGCCCCGCCUGGGGAGUACGGCCGCAAGGCUAAAACUCAAAGGAAUUGACGG